UCUAUCCAGGAGAGAGAAGAGGGGAGGCGGGGGCAGAAGCAUCACUGGUGGCCAGAAGCAUCGCCGGCGGCACCAGGUCGACCAUGGCCGGUGUAUCCAUACUCUACACUGAGAUUUUGGCUUCCACGGGUUACCAUCGAACAUGCUUUCAGAGCAGGUCAGCCAUAUAAGCUUCAGGGUGAAUCCGGGGCAGCGCACACGUCAGGCACGAGCCUGGCAGCAAGUCCGGCGACCACUGGUGCGGAAACUGCGACUUCAAGUUAAGUAAAGUCAAGCCAUCACUGGUUCACCACAUUGCAUGGUGGGUGACUAGGUGUGUGGAAUCACUUGCCGGUUGCAGCCCAUCAUGGCGGCUCUGUUCAAGGCCAACGCAACAUGCUCCUUGCUGUUGGAGUCUGUGGUGCAGGUCUCCUACGGUGCAGCUCCGUGCCACGACAUACUCAUUCAACUUUCUCAAGGUUUUAAUUUUGCACACUUCAACUUCAUUCAGUCACCUAGCCUACCAAAUUCCAAUUGUUUUGUGUAUACUCUUAUGGGAAACAUUGGUAGCUGAAGGCAACCAAUUGUUUUAGUCCAAUUGUGCAUAUUAUGUGUUCAUCUACUACCUAUUGUACUUUAUGCCUUCUCAUCUUAAAUUUCAGACAACAAUUUUUCUGCAAUUAAAGAUGCAGUUUGGUUCAAUGGAUUGUAAGAGCUCAUCAAACUCCUCGCAUUUACGGAUUUUUUUGAGCUACAUUAUUUUUUUUUCUUGCUCAAAGGUCCAAAAUGUUUCUUAUUUUAGAUUAGAUUUGUCUUAUUUUGAUAAUUUAUCAGUCAGUAUUUGCAAGAGUUGCUCACUAUGUAUAUGCUCUGGAUCAGCCAAGGUAGUUAUGUAAUGAAUAAACUUUUAUUCGUCCAAGCCCUUAUGAUUAUGCUCUUAAAUUUAAAUGCAGCAAUUAGUUCCAUAUUUAGUGGAAGUGUAUUUUUGAAUGAUCCUCACAACUGAUGUUGAUCAAGCAGUAGCAGAGUUAGCAUCUUAAAUUUUUUAUUCUACAAAUAGGAAACACAGUCUCAGUAUCUUUGGUUUUGUUCGGAAAAACAGCUGAAGAUUAAUGUAUGCCUAUUUUGUAAAAUAUAGAAGUGAGUUAUUUACAUUUCAAGAUAAGCUUUUUCCAAAAGGUAAGAUGCUAGGAGGUGCUACUUUAUCUCAUGUGUAGCUUCUCACGAAAUUGCUUGCGGUGUUCAGUGUGCUUGCCGCCUCAUCGGUACAAAUUUGCCUACUGUCCAUUGUCUACUUCAUAUAGAAAUCAUAGAGCGCUUGCGCUGCUUCGGUAAAAAUUCGCUUCCCAUCCAUUACAUAAUGGUUUCUGUAGAAACCACAGAGUGCUUAUUAUUGCCAUACUUGCCUUUCUUCUGAACAAAAUCUGUAGGCAAACAAAAAUGUCAUGCCUUUUCUUCUUACUCAGAAUGGUGCAUCCAGGAUAAAGUAUUUGUUACUCAAAAUUUGUAGGCAUUCUAUCCUGAAUGGCAGGAAAUAAUGCGACUUCUGUAUGACAUUCACGUCGGCCAUUUUUUAAGUUGUAUUUGCAACUACCAGAAAAUAAUUAUUUAUGCUAUUUCAUACAUGUUAGAAAAUGUUGAUUUGUCACACUCUACCGGUUCCUAUUUAAUUUGCUUGGCACUGAUGUUUCCAAUUCGAUUGAAAAGAUUUUUCCAGGCUGUAGCCCAAUUUGUUUCUCACAAAUGCAAGUAAAUGCUUAGGUAAAAAUUAUCCUUCAUGGCUCAAAUAGAAAGAACAUAUAUUCAUUAAUUCCUGAUAUCACCAUACUAACUAUCCUUAGAAGCUGAGAACACGAAGGUGUAUUGUAACUUGAGAAGAUGCAUCUCUUGGCAAUGUUAUGCACUGCUUAAGAUACAGUUGUCACCACUUAUUUGUCUCACAUGAAUAACAUUUAGUGGAAAAUAAAGGCGGGAGAGAUACUUCUGCAAAUAGUUUUUUUUGGCCAAUUGCUGAAUCCGGUAUAUAUUUUGUCAACUGUUCUCCAACCAUUUAGUGCCAUGUCAUUCUGCAAUUGGAUCCAAAUGGUUCAUAAUAAGCUCGACAAGGUGCUUUCAUAAUAGAUAGCUGUCCUUUCAUUAGUUCGAUGUCUCUGCCACAGGUGUACCCCACAGAUGAAGUUUCGGGAACUGUGUCAACUUAGUUCUCUAACAACGCAUCAUUCCCAACGUCUUAAGAAAGUAUCUAGGAGGAUUUUUUCGAGGGAGUAUGAUAGUCAACCUUAACUGAAAAAUAAUUAGCCAUCCUUCAAAAUACAGUGUUUUCUUUUAAGUUGAGAUGCUUGCAAGUUUAUCCCUGAACUGGGCCAGCCGACUGUUUAGGCUAUGUGAUUGGUCGUUUUGAUUUAUAUGAUCCUCAAAAAAGCUACAUAUCAGUGGAUCAUCCUUUGAGGAUCUUCUUUACUCUAAAGAUUUUUCUAGCAGAGGUGGUGCCACUGCCAGAGAACUUUCCUUUGUUCGCUUAUACUGCUAUCCCAUUUAGCAUGUUAUUACAUCGCAUCGAUCGGAAUAUACUUCUAUCUGGUGAGAAUGUGGCCGCUUUGGUGCUUGGUUUAUUUUAUUGUAUAAUCUGUAUCCUUAAUACCAUGUGUUUUAUGUUGUGAUAAUUUGAUUGCUCCGUGUAGAUUUGUAGACGUUGUUGGAUUGGUGAACAAGGUCACUUAUGUUUUCCCCCCUUCUGGUAAUGCUAGGAGCCAGAAACGUCAAGUGUAUAUCACAGAUGGCAGCGAGCCUGCUAUUGUUACCCUUUGUGGGGAGCACGCUGAUCUAUUUGAUGCUGAUGGGUUGAUAGAGGCAUCGGAUGAGGAGCCUAUUAUCAUUUCAUUUGUUGGCAUGGCAGUUAGUCAUUGCUCAGGUUUAUAGGCCUUCAAGAGUACAGCUGUUACAAGAUGGCAUGUUAAUGUGCCAAUUCUAGAGAUAGCUGAUGUUCGGGAGAAGCAUGUUUAUCAGGAAAUCAGUUCCUGCUGCGUGUCAGGAUUGUUGUUUGUUUGGUGACAUGUGUAUUUUCCAUGUGUUACAUAUCGAGAAACAUAUACCGUGGUGCAUUGAUCUGCACAGUGCAAAUCAAAGUCGUUCUGAGCCGACCGUAUCAUCAAUCGAGGAGAUAGCGGCAUUUGAGCCGAAUGAUAUCAUGGGUGAGUGUUGUAAAAUAUCCAGUAGAAUUACCGACGUUCUCAUAACCAACGGUUGGUAUUAUAUAAGCUGCAAAGAAUAUUGGAAGAUGGUUACUUUAGAGGAUGCAGUAUACUUGGUGCCCCACUGUUAUACCUCUGCCCAGGUAUAGGCUCAUUGUUGGAGCAGUUGACGCUGGUUCUACAGAUCCUCUCACUACCAAAUUUACGAACCUUUAUUUGUUUGGGCCUCCAGAGGAAACUGUCGUCCAAAAAGAGGAUCUUUAUUUGUUUGGGCCUCCUGAGGAAACUGUCGUCCGAAAAGAGGCGUUGCUGCUUGUGUCAAGUGUAAGAGGAGUCAGUAGAGGACUGACUAAUGCAGUGCCCAAGGAUUUACUUGAGAAUUCAGUGUUGUUCUACUCAUAGACAUGAAUGACUAGACUCAUUGCACAACUACCUCCAGGUACAAAUUGUUGAGCCGAUUGUCCAUGCCAAUGUUGUCUUGCGAGAGGGAAUGGAUUGUUCAGCUGUAGGUCAGGACAAUGUUGGCAUCCCUGCUCCUGAAACCCCAAAGCAUGUUCCACGUCCUGCUGAGACAUCAAGUCCUCCACUGUCCAUGGAUCUCACGCUAUUCAGCUUCCGUUAUUGAUGAGACUGCCUCCGAUGCCAUUGGGAGAAUGAAGCGCAACAGUCCCGGUGAUGGCGAGUAGCCGAGUACCCAGGUCGAAGAAAGGGUUACAUUUUUCGGAUGCUGAUGACUAGGUUCCUGGGCACGUGUUCGUUAGCUGAACGUGAAGAACAUGGUGGUUCUACUGUCAGCGAUUUUGUUUAUGAUGGUGUUUUUACUGUCUACAAGCUACAAUUUGGCUGGUGUAUGCAACAAGGUUGCUUCGCUAUGGCCCCCUGUUCUGUUGUUCAAGGCCCAUAUGUUCGGGCCCCCAGUCCUCUUCUAUAUUUGUACAUCUUGGGACAGUCUGACUGUUUAGACUAUGUCUUUUUCAUUCUACUUUCGGACUAUGGCUAUUAAGAUGUACUAUAUACUAAACUGGACGCAACCAACUCUCCGCAGUAUCUUAUCUAGGCUAAACUGUCAUGUGGACUAUGUAAUGGGACAUGAAUAAAAUUAGCACCGCUCUUUAUUUUCCCACUGUA